GUCUACGGCCAUACCACCCUGAACGCGCCUGAUCUCAUCUCAGCUCGGAAGCUAAGCAGGGUCGGGCCUGGUUAGUACUUGCACGGGAGUGAAAUAUCAAUCGAUCUAAAAU
rnacentral:rRNA from 1 species